GACGGGACCCCGCACAAGCAGCGGAGCGUGUGGUUUAAUUCGAGGCUACACGAAGAACCUUACCAGGGUUUGACAUGCAAGUGGUAGGAAUCCGAAAGGUGACCGACCUUCGGGGAGCUUGCACAGGUGCUGCAUGGCUGUCGUCAGCUCGUGUCGUGAGAUGUUCGGUUAAGUCCGCUAACGAGCGCAACCCUCGUCGUGUGUUAUACGUGUCACACGAUACUGCCGGUAUCAAGCCGGAGGAAGGUGGGGAUGGUGUCAAGUCAGCAUGGCCUUUAUAUCCUGGGCUACACACACGCUACAAUGGCAGAUACAAUAGGUUGCGAAACCGCGAGGUGGAGCCAAUCCUCAAAGUCUGUCUCAGUUCAGAUUGUAGGCUGCAACUCGCCUGCAUGAAGUUGGAGUUGCUAGUAAACGCAGGUCAGCUAUACUGCGUUGAAUACGUUCCCGGGGUUU
rnacentral:rRNA from 1 species